UCGUGCAGGUCCGGACAGAUGUAGUGCACGUGCGCAUCGAUCGCGCCUGCGGUCACGAUAAACUUCUCGCCCGCAAUCACCUCGGUACACGAGCCCACCACCAGAUUCGGGUCGACGCCGUCCAUGAUGGCCGGAUUGCCCGCCUUGCCAAUGCCCACAAUGUGUCCGUUGCGGAUGCCGAUGUCCGCCUUGACGAUGCCCCACCAGUCGACGAUGAGCGCGUUGAUGACGACGACAUCGAGCACGGCGCUGUCCGCCCGUCCCGAAGCCUGGCCCAUGCCGUCCCUCAG
rnacentral:sRNA from 1 species